rnacentral:tRNA from 1 species
GCCCGGCUAGCUCAAUCGGUAGAGCGUGAGACUCUUAUGGAGUUGCUCCGUCAUCUCAAGGUUGUGGGUUCGACCCCCACGUCGGGCU